rnacentral:rRNA from 1 species
UACAGAGGUGGCAAGCGUUGUUCGGAAUUACUGGGCGUAAAGGGCGCGUAGGCGGUUCGUUAAGUCCUGUGUGAAAUCCCCCGGCUCAACUGGGGAACUGCACAGGAAACUAGCGGGCUUGAGUUCGGGAGAGGGAAGCGGAAUUCCGGGUGUAGCGGUGAAAUUCGUAGAUAUCCGGAGGAACACCAGUGGCGAAGGCGGCUUCCUGGCCUGUUCUUGACGCUGAGGCGCGAAAGCUAGGGGAGCAAACGGG